GCUGAGCUGUGGCUGCACAUUACCGGAAACCCCUCAUCGAGUAAUUCUGUAGUUCUGUUUUGCUUACAGGUCUAUUUCUUAAGCCUGUGAUAAGGGAUUGCANGACAGCA
ensembl:snoRNA